rnacentral:tRNA from 1 species
UGGAGGUUGGCUUAGCGGUUGAGCACCGGACUUUUAAUCCGGCAUAGAUGGGUUCAAUUCCCAUACCUCCAACCA